AUUGAACGCUGGCGGCAUGCCUUACACAUGCAAGUCGAACGGCAGCACGGGGGCAACCCUGGUGGCGAGUGGCGAACGGGUGGGUAAUACAUCGGAACGUGCCCAGGAGUGGGGGAUAGCCCGGCGAAAGCCGGAUUAAUACCGCAUACGACCUACGGGUGAAAGCGGGGGAUCGCAAGACCUCGCGCUAUCGGAGCGGCCGAUGUCAGAUUAGGUUGUUGGGGAGGUAAAGGCUCACCAAGCCGACGAUCUGUAGCUGGUCUGAGAGGAUGAGCAGCCACAGUGGGACUGAGAAACGGCCCAGACUCCUACGGGAGGCAGCAGUGGGGAAUGUUGGACAAUGGGGGCAACCCUGAUCCAGCCAUGCCGCGUGAGGGAAGAAGGCCUUCGGGUUGUAAACCGCUUUUGUCAGGGAAGAAAUCUUCUGGGCUAACACCCUGGGAGGAUGACGGUACCUGAAGAAUAAGCACCGGCUAACUACGUGCCAGCCGCCGCAGUAACAC
rnacentral:rRNA from 1 species